UACGUAGGUGGCAAGCGUUACUCGGAUUUACUAGGCGUAAAGCGCAUGUAGGCGGUUGGAUAAGUCAACUGUUAAAGCCCCUGGCCUAACCAGGGGAGGUCGGUUGAAACUGUUUAACUUGAGUUUGAUAGAGGAAACUGGAAUUCCCGGUGUAGCGGUGAAAUGCGUAGAUAUCGGGAGGAAUACCAAUGGCGAAGGCAGGUUUCUGGAUCAAUACUGACGCUCAGAUGCGAAAGCUAGGGGAGCAAACAGG
rnacentral:rRNA from 1 species